rnacentral:rRNA from 1 species
CACGUAGGGCGCAAGCGUUGUCCGGAAUUAUUGGGCGUAAAGAGCUCGUAGGCGGUCUGUUACGUCUGCUGUGAAAACCCAGGGCUUAACCCUGGGCUUGCAGUGGAUACGGGCAGACUAGAGGCAGGUAGGGGAGAAUGGAAUUCCCGGUGUAGCGGUGAAAUGCGCAGAUAUCGGGAGGAACACCGGUGGCGAAGGCGGCUUCCUGGAUCGACACUGACGCUGAGGCGCGAAAGCUAGGGGAGCAAACGGG